AGCAGUAGCCGCGGGAAUACGUAGGGUCCGAGCGUUGUCCGGAAUUAUUGGGCGUAAAGGGCUCGUAGGCGGUUUGUUAAGUCUGUUGUGAAAUCCCCGGGCUCAACCUGGGAAUGGCAAUGGAUACUGGCAAGCUAGAGUGUGUCAGAGGAUGGUGGAAUUCCCGGUGUAGCGGUGAAAUGCGUAGAGAUCGGAAGGAACAUCUGUGGCGAAGGCGACUAUCUGGGCCAACACUGACACUGAGGCACGAAAGCGUGGGGAGCAAACAGGAUUAGAUACCCCCGUAGUCCCUGUCUCUUAUAC
rnacentral:rRNA from 1 species